GGAGUCUAGCAUGUGCGCGAGUCAUUGGGACUCGUUAGCUAAACCUAAAGGCGAAAUGAAAGUGAAGGCGCGCCUCAAGCGCGCGCCGAGGGAGGAUGGGUGCGCCGCCCGAGGCAACGAGGGCGCGCGCGCUCCGCACUCCCGGGGCGUCUCGUUCUCAUCGCGAGAUGAGGCGCACCCAGAGCGUACACGCUGGGACCCGAAAGAUGGUGAACUAUGCCUGGUCAGGACGAAGUCAGGGGAAACCCUGAUGGAGGUCCGUAGCGAUUCUGACGUGCAAAUCGAUCGUCGGAACUGGGUAUAGGGGCGAAAGACUAAUCGAACCAUCUAGUAGCUGGUUCCCUCCGAAGUUUCCCUCAGGAUAGCUGGCGCUCGUCGAGCGCGAGUCUCAUCCGGUAAAGCGAAUGAUUAGAGGCAUUGGGGUCGAAACGGCCUCAACCUAUUCUCAAACUUUAAAUGGGUGAGAUCUCCGGCUUGCUUGAAGCAUGAAGCCGCGAGAUCGGAUCUAGAGUGCCAAGUGGGCCACUUUUGGUAAGCAGAACUGGCGCUGUGGGAUGAACCAAACGCGGAGUUAAAGCGCCUAAAUCGACGCUUAUGGGAUACCAUGAAAGGCGUUGGUAACUUAAGACAGCAGGACGGUGGCCAUGGAA
rnacentral:rRNA from 1 species